AAAUUUAUUCCUUUCAGAAAAUAACUUACAUUCCAGAACACACACAUUGUGACAGCAUAUUUCCAGUGUUCCUUUUCUUGUAAUUUUUCUUAAGUUGCAUUUACACAGGAAGCCCAAUUCUGAUCUUUUGGCCCCAAUAUUGGCAAAAGAUCUGAUCUGAUUGGGCAAGAGAUCAGAAUUGGGCAACCGGUGUGAACGUAGCCUUACACACAGUAAAGAGGUUAGACAUUGCAUUAUCAGAAGGAUUUCUGGCGGAUAUAUUUACACGUACAGUACAUUCAGAUCAACAUCAUAAAAAGGUCCAUCCUAUCAGAUCAAUGAUAAAAAGGUCCAUCCUAUCAGAUCAGCGUGAUAAAAAGGUCCAUCCUAUCAGAUCAGUGAUAAAAAGGUCCAUCCUAUCAGAUCAGUGAUAAAAAGGUCCAUCCUAUC
ensembl:lncRNA